UGGGGAAUAUUGGACAAUGGGCGGAAGCCUGAUCCAGCCAUGCCGCGUGUGUGAAGAAGGCCUUUUGGUUGUAAAGCACUUUAAGCGAGGAGGAGGCUACUUGGAUUAAUACUCUAGGAUAGUGGACGUUACUCGCAGAAUAAGCACCGGCUAACUCUGUGCCAGCAGCCGCGGUAAUACAGAGGGUGCGAGCGUUAAUCGGAUUUACUGGGCGUAAAGCGUGCGUAGGCGGCUUUUUAAGUCGGAUGUGAAAUCCCUGAGCUUAACUUGGGAAUUGCAUUAGAUACUGGGAAGCUAGAGUAUGGGAGAGGAUGGUAGAAUUCCAGGUGUAGCGGUGAAAUGCGUAGAGAUCUGGAGGAAUACCGAUGGCGAAGGCAGCCAUCUGGCCUAAUACUGACGCUGAGGUACGAAAGCAUGGGGAGCAAACAGG
rnacentral:rRNA from 1 species